rnacentral:lncRNA from 10 species
GUUCCAACAGACAAACUGGUUUGCUUUGUGUUAGUGCACAAUUAACAAACCUCUGAGUUUGUAAGACUUCAGGAGAGAAUUCUAGCCGAAUAGGAUCCAUCUCAUUUUCCCUAGCUGGACUGGAAAGUAUAAACAGGAAUCAAGGAAAAAGACUAUUGUGACCAUGAAAUUUGGAAGCCAAGCAUAGGAUACCAGGAGAGGUUGGAUAGAAGCAAGAUUUAUCAGAAUUAGCCUUGGAAUCUCUGACUCAAGUAUGGACUAUCAUCAGCCAUUAGCACCAGACAAAAUGCAGCCACUGACAAUCUUCUGGGAUGCCGCUAAGUAUACUUGACCUAACAACUACCAGUAAAACUUUCUGACAUGUGCUUUGAUUCUAGAUUAUCAACUAAGAAUUCAGGGAAACAUUCUACUAAAUAACAUGUCCUAUGUAAGUGAGAUAAUUAUAACAGCCUCCUCACUAGGUUAUGGGCCCCCAAAUUUGUACUUUUCAGAUCUUUCUUCUACGUUGCAGUCAGACACAGAUUUGAUCACGCCACACCAUUGCUCAGAAUUCUUUGGAUGCAACUUACUGCCUAUAGGAUGAAGACCACACUCAGGCAUUUCCUUGAAUGCUGACACAAUCCUACCCCAACCUACCUCACGAUCUUCCUACUGCAUGCAUGCUCCCUUCAGAUCUAAUUGGCUUUUUUUCACUAAUGCCUGCACUUGACCUAAGUGAAGAUUCUGAAGCAGGAGAGAAACUGGUUUUCUAGGCCUAUCUUGAGUCUCUUUUAUCAUUGACCAUCUUUCGCUACCACAAAAGAAUCAUAUUCUAUUGCACAAGACCUAGUGGGCCUCAUUUAAGAUUUUGAACAUUAUUCCAACAAAAUUCCUAAAAUUUUAAGUUUGUACUUAUAUCAUAAAGCUAGACCUUGCAUUUAAAACUCACCUUUAGAAAACUUGCUUUAAAAAAACAAAAACAAGUAAUUUUGAUGAAUUUGGAAAUUCUGUGACUUAAUCUUAUCUGUUAUCUGAGUAAGAGUUUAAGCAACAGUGACACUGGAAAAUAAAAUGAUAUUUAUGUAUAAAACAAUGAUAAUACUAUAGAAUGUCAUCUUUCAGGGUAACAUUUGUUGAGUUACAGAACUGAUUCAUUGAUUGCACUAAAGUUAUACCAUUGAAUAACUUGCAUGGAGGGAAACCAGAAUUAUAACCACGGGUAAAAAUUGAUAUAUUAGAGGUGAAUUUUGGAAGAAAUAAAAAUGUAGAAGGCAAUUAUAAGGGGAGCACUUAAAUUAGGUAUGAAUGGUUUAUGCUAUUGAUUAAAGCAUUUUAAAAAUCAAUAAAAGAACACUUUGUACCAAGUAGCUUUCAGGAACUUUCAGGGAAGACCAUUUGAUUCAGUUCAAAAGUCAGAAGCCUCUGCCCUAACAGGUAAAAAGCG